rnacentral:rRNA from 1 species
UACGAAGGGGGCUAGCGUUGCUCGGAAUUACUGGGCGUAAAGCGCACGUAGGCGGCUUUCUAAGUCAGGGGUGAAAUCCUGGAGCUCAACUCCAGAACUGCCUUUGAUACUGGGAAGCUUGAGUUCGGGAGAGGUGAGUGGAACUGCGAGUGUAGAGGUGAAAUUCGUAGAUAUUCGCAAGAACACCAGUGGCGAAGGCGGCUCACUGGCCCGAUACUGACGCUGAGGUGCGAAAGCGUGGGGAGCAAACAGG